rnacentral:rRNA from 1 species
UACGUAGGAUGCAAGCGUUGUCCGGAAUUAUUGGGCGUAAAGAGCGCGCAGGCGGUAUGACAAGUCAGAUGUGAAAGAGGCCGGCUUAACCGGCAAGGGUCAUUUGAAACUGUCAGACUAGAGUGCAGCAGAGGAUAGUGGAAUUCCCGGUGUAGUGGUGAAAUGCGUAGAUAUCGGGAGGAACACCAGUGGCGAAGGCGACUAUCUGGGCUGCAACUGACGCUGAGGCGCGAAGGCUAGGGUAGCAAACAGG